GAAAUGUCAAAUCUGACCCAAUCCAAUCGGGACUGUAAGCAUACCCGUCCCCGGGACUGUGAAUACACCCGUCCCUGCCCCGUUGCGACUAUCAGGCUCUAUCCACACUAACUGGUCCGUGGAGAGCAAGUCCAACUGGCAUGAGCGACACCAACGCGAAAGCACAAAGCCUGACUCCGGAGUGGCACUCGUGGGCGCUACCCAACCGAGUAUGCAGCGUAUCUCUGUCGAGCUCAAACAGGCUCUGAAAAGCCAAAGUCAAGUAACCGACUCAAACUGGUCUAACCACCAACAGGUAAUGUGCCCUCGGCACAAUCUGACGCCAAAAAGGCGAUACGGGUCCACCGUCAACUCUGACGGCACCCACCAGUCGGGAACAACCUGAACGAUCCUGUAAAAAUCCACUCGGCGCACCAGCACGAGCGUAAAUGUAAUCUAAACUACCUGGAGUACUCGUCUCGAAGAUACUGCGACAGUACAAUUUAAUAACGGCUCCUAGAGCUAAAUCAGGCAGUUUAAACAAGUGACAGGUCCAAAUCGCAGGUUUUCUCCUAAUUCAAUUUCCAAGUCCAACAUGUAUAACCUACUUAAUUUAUUACCACAUGCUCCAAAUUCAGAUUUGCAAUCUACAAUAUAAUCCAUGAAUUCGAGCUAGAAUAGAGUAUCCAAAGGUCGAAAAUUAUACAUGCCGACGAAUAUGAACUUAGGAGUAAAAACCGAUGUAACCCACCUCUCAAGCAACUCCUGGCAGCGAAGAAAGCGUUAAAUCCGACCAAGCUAACCUUAUCCAAAUUCAGCAAACAAGGGUCCUGAAGCUUCGUCUCGAAGUCACGAAUCCAAUGGCCCAGGUUUCGCUGAAUUCCGACGCUCCUACGCAGAGAACGGGCCAGAAUACGAAACGUCGACGCUGGAACCUGCGAAACAGCAUCUCUGAAAUCUGCUCGGCAAACAGCAGCCUAGUAAAACUAGGGUUCGACAGGGCAAACCUGCUCCAAAAAUCGCGAUCUUGGGCUCAGAAUCUUCGUCUCGAAGUCGUGAAUCUAGCACGUCAAAUUUCGUCGCGUUUCGACACUCCUACACAGAGAACUAGGUAAAACACGGCGGGUCGAUGCUGGAAUCAGCAAUCAGCACUUCAGAGUCUACUCGGCAAACAGCAACUCAGUAAAAAGGGAUUUUGACAGAGCAAACCUUCUCCAAAUCGGGCGAGUAAGAAUCCUAUGGAUUCGUCUCGAAGUCCCGGUUCCAACGAACCAAAUCUCGUCGAAAUCCGAUGCUCCUACGUCGCGUACGAGGUGAAAUACUAACAGUCGACGACAAGAUCCUGCGAAUCAGCACUUAAGCUCGAAUUGAAUGAAGCUUGAAGUAGAGAAGAAAUCCAUGGAGGAAUGAGAGAUUACCCACCUCAACCAGCGACUCCAAUUCCGGCACGGCGUCGAGAAUGACGAAAUCACACCUUCGCCCGGCCUCCUCACAAUGCUACGACGACGAACGCACGCUCGAACGGCACUGCGGCGCAACGUCGACGACGAAAACCUCCCGAGCUCGAGCUCUCCACCGUGCCCACGAGCUAACAUAAAGAGAGAGAGAGGAUAGCAACCUUAAUUAGUAGCACCUGCCACCUUAUCCUAAUUAAGGCGGUGGGAUAAGGUUGAAAGGUGACAAUUAUCCAAAAGCCCCUCACCUAUUACGAUAUUCAACUUUAGUCCUCUACUUUGAAACUUGAGUUUUAAAGUCUGUUUUUUUUACAUCUAUUCUGCACAAAACGUCUCGAGCUCAAUCAAGCAUAACUUAUACUAUAACCUUACUAAUUUGCUAAGGUUUAGUAUCUCAGAUUAGUGGUGCAACCGACCUUAUUGGAGAGGAUAAAAGAGCUACAAGCUUCCGAUGAGUAUCUCCAAAAGGUGCGCGGUGAAGUUGAGAGCAAUAGUGCCGAGACUUUGGCAUUGAGACCGACGGCACACUUUGAUUUCGGAAUCGUUGGUGUGUACCUAAGAACAAGGACAUCCGCAAGGCGAUUAUGCAAGAAGCGCAUCAAACUCCUUAUAGUAUCCACCCCGGCGGCACCAAGAUGUACCAAGAUUUGAAAUUGCAUUAUUGGUGGUCGGGCAUGAAGAAAGACAUUGGGGAGUUUGUUGCGCAAUGUCUUACUUGCUAACAAGUAAAAGCAGAGCGGCGGUUUCCUGUGGGAAAAUUACAAAGCCUACCUAUAAAAGCUGAAAAGUUCAAGAAAGAUUUUGCUACCCUUAAAAUAUGUAGAUUUUCUAAAUCAAUUUGCGAGCUUCACUGUCACUACUAGAAAAUUAGUUAUUAGUGGUUUUUAUUUACGCUGCUAAAAGAUUAACGAAUAUUGCUAAAAGUAUAUAUGACACCAAAUAUUGCCUAUAUCAAUGUUGCUAAAAGUAUUAGUAACAUUUAUAAUGAAUGCCACAAGUAUAAAUCAAUUGGUGUUAUUAGGAACAUGCCGCUAAAAUGAUUUUUUUUUUUUUUUUUGAGAGAGAUAGGUAGCACGCUACCUGCUUCGUUUAUUUCAUUUAGAAAUAAACUUAGCUAGAAAUGUGAAUCAACUAGGAUUCGAACCUGAGUCUCGAGUACCAACCAUCAAACCCUUUGUCACUUGCUCUAGGGACGGUCGGUUGCUAAAAUGCUUGUUAAAUGUUAAUUUUAAGUUGUUUAUUAGUGGCGCAAGAAUAUAAUGCCACUAAUACAAAUACCUGAUUUUAUGGACUUAAAUUUUAAAAUUUUUAUUUUUGUAUUCAAUUUUAAAAUUAAAAUUAAAAUUUAUAUUUAUAUUUGAAUUUAUUAUUUUUUAGAUAAAGGUAGCAUGCUACAUGUUUUUUUUAUUUCUUUUAGAAAUGAACUUAACGGGAUAUGUGAAUCAACAAGUAUUCGAACUUGAGGCCUCAAGUACAAACCAACAAUCCUUUUGUCACUUGCGCUAGAGACAAUCAAUUAUAUAUAUUUGAAUUUUUAAGUUUUAAAUUUAAGAUUAUAAUUUCAAGUUUUUAAAAUUCAAAUUCUAAAAUAUUAAACUUUAAUUCAAAAUUUUAAAUUCUAAGUAUAAAAUGGGAUAUAUUAAUAAUUAUAUAUUGAUUAGUGAAGGCAUUUAGCAAUAAGUGUUACUCUUUUGUUACAUUUAGUACCAUUUUUUAUAAAAUACUUGAAACUUUAGCGGCAUUUACUAAUUUACGCUACCAAUUUAUUCUAUUUUACAACAUUAUCAAGUAAUGCUAUUAAAUAUAUUAAUUAGUAUUCUUUAAAUAAAUGCUACAGAGUAAAUACCGCUAAAUUAUAAAUUUGUUGUAGUUUAUAUAUAAUAAGACUAUCUUUAAUUCAAAACUGCAAGCAAGAAGAUUUCCCCAGUUUUUUUUUAUUAUUUUGGUAGCAAAAUCAAGUUACAAAUAGCAGCCAAACACCUUUUGAACUACUUAUGUGCUCCCUAAUAAAGAAAUUCUUUUAUCAUAAACAAUAUCUUUUGACAUCCAAGCACUACAACAAAAACGGUCUAUAGCGACAUUUUUAAAUAUAGGUACAUGUCAAAAAAGUGCUGCUAGCUAAAAUUACCAACACUUUUAAAAAGUGUUGCUAUAUAUGGGGUCGCUAAGUAUAUACUAACAGUUAAAGAGCGUCGCUAUAACCUAAAAGAGUGCUGCUAAUUUACCAACACUUAUUUAAGCAUUUAGCAACUGCCGAAACUCUAUCUCGUUGGCUGCGGUGGCGGAGGAGGACGACAGUAAAGACUCUUCGUCUAGAAUUUCAGUGGAUUAAGUGAAGAGAGAAGAAAAGAUGGUAAUUGAUUUUUCUUUUUUUUUUUUCUUUUCUGUUUGUAAUCGGGCCAAAUGGACUGGGUGUGGUGGGUUGAGUAGAGUAAUUUUUUAUUUUUGAUUGGAUUGGGCUUUAUAUUUAGGCAUUAGUAGAUGUGUUUUUAAGUUUUAGCAUAAAUGGGACACUUACUCAAAAGUAUCCCAAACAUAUGUCCCUAUAACCUAAUUCUGUUGUAGUGAAGUGAUCAUACUCAGUUUUACAUAGUAGUGAGACGACAUUAUUGGGACAUUAUAAAAGUGUGAUAUUUGUUAGAAGCAGGAAAUUUUUAUUAGUGCUAUUUUUUUUUUGUUUUCAAAAGAGUUAUUUGGAUGGCUUUUAUAGACUUGCAUAACACAACAAAAUAAUCUCAUUCUUAUGUAAUUUUGGGGUAAAAUGAAAUAAGCUUAAAUCUACAAAAUUUUGGAGUAAAGUAAGAGUAAAACAUCUUAACCAUUCAUCAUUGCCUGUUUCUCAAAAUUUCUCUUUAAAUUGAGGUACUUUUAGUAAAAUUCAAAGCAAGUUAUAGUGUCCAAGCACAUUACAUACAAAGUUUUUUUAUUUGAAAUAAUGCUAUUUUCAACAAAUUUUUAUGCCAUUGAAAAAAAAAAACUAUGAAUUAAAUUUAGAGUUCCUAAUUUGGUCCAAAAUGUUUUUACCGUCCACUGUAACUAUAUUUCGGUAACUCUAACAAAUUUAGUUCUAGCCUUCAAAAGUAACUAAAUUUAGUUCUAGCCUCCAAAAGUAACUAACCCUUUACAUUUUAGAGAAGCAUUUAUGUAGUGGAUUGCCUACUGAAUCCACAGAUUUCUUUCUUACUCCAAGAUAUCUUAUGGAUUUUUUUUUUUAGCUUUAUCUAUUUUAGUCUUAUAUAUAUAUGUAUAUAUCUUUCCUGUUUUUCGUGAUUUACUUCUUUGCAAAACAUCAACCAUGGCCGGAUUCAUCUAUUCACAUGUUACCUUUCUUCCUUUAAUAUCCAUUCUACUCCUUUCCUCUGAAGCUGUUGAAGCACUCAAAAGAAUCUUAAGCUUCGAGCUAAUAUAUCGUCACUCUCCUCGGUCCCCAGUUUACAAUCCUAACCUCACUGAUUCACAACGCUUUGAAGAGUCCCUCCGCCUUUCCGAGAACCGAUUCCUCCAACUGAACAACGUCGAAUCAAAGCUAGUUGGCCAUGAAACAACCACUAUUCGCUCCCAUGUCAUCAUCUAUGAAGCAUUAUACAUGGUUUUUGUGACGAUUGGCACUGGAAAUGGUAGCAUUGGCUACCAUUUAGACCUAGAUACAGGCAGUUAUCUUACUUGGACCCAAUGCAAGCCAUGCAUCAAUUGCUAUGUGCAAAAUGAACCUUACUUCGACCCUCUCCAAUCCCCUUCCUUCGUCGACGUCUCCUGUUCUGACCAGAACCCUUGCCCGCAAAGAUAUUACCAUUGCAUCAACAACCGUUGCCACUACCAGAUCAGCUAUAUUGAUGGGUCCCACACAAUUGGCACGCUCUCAAAAGACACCUUUGGCUUCCAUUCAAACCAUGGUGACCAUCUUGAGUUUGUUGAGGGGCUUGUCUUUGGUUGCUCACAUGAUACACAUUUUGGCAACUACGAUGGUUAUCCAUCAGGAUUAAUGGCAUUAGGUUUGUCUGAGGAAUCAUUUGCGAGGCAACUUAUCAAUCAUGGUAGCCAGGGUCGCUUUUCAUACUGUCUUCCCCCGAUAGGUUCAAAGAGUAUAAGCUUUUUACGAUUCGGAAGCAACAUUGUGCAAAGAGGGCCAGUCCAAACCACACCGAUAGUACCUAUACAAGGUGUGUGCUUCUAUUACAUCACCUUAAAUGACAUUAGUGUUGGCAACAAACGACUUGGGUUUGAGCCAGGAAUGUUUGCGCGAAAGCCGAAUAGGUCGGGCGGGUUCUUUGUGGACUCCGGCACGUUCGUCACUCACUUGAUAACCCCAGCUUUUGAACAAGUGAAGAAAGUGCUUAGAGGUUAUUUCCGCCAUAAGAAAUUGGUUGAAGUGGACCCACAAAGAUACGAGACAAAUCUUAAACUUUGUUGGCUUUUCCAACCAAGUUAUGAGAGCUUAAUGCCGAGCAUGACAUUGCAUUUACAAGGGGCCCAGAUGCAUAUCAUGUGGCGAGAGUUGUUCCUCAUUACAUGGGAGAAGGGAGUAUUUUGCUUUGCAAUGUUGCCACGGGACAAUUCAAGUAUUCUCGGGGCAUACCAACAAGCAAAUACUCGAUUUACUUUUGAUGUGGUACAAUCACAGCUAGCCUUCAAUCCAGAGAAUUGUGAACAUGACUCCCAACCAUGAAAGAGAGCAAUGGGAAACUAAAACCCUGAAUAAUGUGCCCAUAUAGAUGUUUUUCUUUUUUAAUAGCUUUUAUCUAAAGCUAAUCUAAAGUAAGAUUAUUUUUAGAGAACAAAUCUUUAUAUGUAAAACUAUUUGUAUGCUGAGAUCACUGAAUCUACUAUUCACUUUAUGUCAUGCCCCGGGCUGCACAGUCCCCCGGGCACGCCGACAAAUCCGCCGUAUACAAGAGAAUUUCUCCGGUAUACGAAGCGUAGCUGAACCUGUAUAAAUAUACAAUACUACAAGCAGUAGUAUAGAGCUGAAGUAAACAAUAAACAAGCAGGUAGAAAUAACAAACUUAAUAUACCUACAUCAGCCCCGGAUACAAGAGAACACUACUCGCUCCAGCGAGUUCAACUGUAUGUACAAAAGCGCCCGAACAAAAACUGUCACUACCUGCAGCGGGAGUCCUCUAGCACUGUACUCGGAGGGUAGGCUCUAACUCGCCACGCCUUUCCCGCGGUCCGCCUCAGAAGGAGCAGCCGCCGAAACAGAAGGCCCUGCAACAUCGGUGGAAGAAAGAGGGCGUGAGAACUACUAUAAAAGCAAGUAGUCCUCAGUGGGUGCCGCCCUAAACAACACCGGUCCACCCACUAAGUCUACAGGGUAAGCAAGAUAGAAGAAAAUGAAGCUGGAAACUCUCUACAGCUACAAGUCGCUAUGCUAUCAUGCCCAGAACUAACACCUAUAGACUCAAGUCAACCAGACCCAAUCCGAAGGGGACUGUGAACGCACCCGUCCCUGGGACUGUGAACGCACUCGUCCCGUGCCCGGUUGUGACUGCACAGCUACCCCCACUCUAAACCUCAGUGGAGAGCAAGUCCAACCUGCACUACCCGACACCGACGCGAAAGCACAAAGCCUAACUC
rnacentral:lncRNA from 1 species